rnacentral:rRNA from 1 species
UACGUAGGGUCCGAGCGUUGUCCGGAAUUACUGGGCGUAAAGAGCUCGUAGGUGGUUUGUCGCGUUGUUCGUGAAAACUCACAGCUUAACUGUGGGCGUGCGGGCGAUACGGGCAGACUAGAGUACUGCAGGGGAGACUGGAAUUCCUGGUGUAGCGGUGAAUGCGCAGAUAUCAGGAGGAACACCGGUGGCGAAGGCGGGUCUCUGGGCAGUAACUGACGCUGAGGAGCGAAAGCGUGGGGAGCGAACAGG